CAAACACUUAUCAAUUUGUGCGUCAAGGAAGUCGUAAUUGUUUGUCACUUUUAACCGACUUAAGUCCACUCUUUGUAAGCAAACUCUUUGUAUACAGUCACAAUGACUGCUGGAUUUUAUUAAAGUCAACAUACUUGAAACCAACUAUAGGUUCAUCUGAUUACACGUGAGCUAUAAAAGAACAAACUACCGUAAAUAUACUGUAUUUAACAAAGGAAUUUCUUACGGGAAUUUUCUUGAUG